CUCACAAGGAGUUUUCCUAGAUGUUACCUAUUCAAGACAUGGAUAUCAAAAACUCACCAUCUAGCCUUAACUCUCCUGUCUCCUACAACUGCAGUCAAUCCAUCCUACCCCUGGAGCCAGGCCCUAUAUAUAUACCUUCCUCCUAUGUAGAGAGCCACCAUGAAUAUUCAGCCAUGACAUUCUAUAGCCCUGCCGUGAUGAAUUACAGUAUUCCCAAUAACUCGGAAGGUGGGCCUGGUCGACAGACCACAAGCCCAAAUGUAUUGUGGCCAGCUCCUGGGCACCUCUCUCCUUUAGCCAUCCAUUGCCAGUCGUCACUUCUGUAUGCAGAACCUCAAAAGAGUCCUUGGUGUGAAACGAGAUCAUUAGAACACACCUUACCUGGGAACAGAGAGACAUUGAAAAGGAAGGCUAGUGGAAGCAGUUGUGCCAGCCCUGUUACUAGUCCAAGUUCAAAGAGGGAUGCCCACUUCUGUGCGGUCUGCAGCGAUUAUGCAUCAGGAUAUCACUAUGGAGUCUGGUCGUGUGAAGGAUGUAAGGCCUUUUUUAAAAGAAGCAUUCAAGGACAUAAUGAUUAUAUUUGUCCAGCUACAAAUCAGUGUACAAUAGACAAGAACCGGCGUAAAAGCUGCCAGGCCUGCCGACUUCGGAAGUGCUAUGAAGUCGGAAUGGUGAAGUGUGGUUCCCGGAGAGAAAGGUGUGGGUACCGCGCGGUUCGAAGGCAGAGAAAUUCUGAUGAGCAGCUGCACUGCCUGAGCAAAGCCAAGAAAAAUGGUGGGCACGUGACCCGCGUGAAGGAGCUGCUGCUGAGUGCCCUGAGCCCAGAGCAGCUGGUGCUCACACUCCUCGAGGCCGAGCCGCCCCACGUGCUCGUGAGCCGCCCCAGCACGCCCUUCACCGAGGCCUCCAUGAUGAUGUCCCUGACCAAGCUGGCUGACAAGGAACUGGUACACAUGAUCGGCUGGGCCAAGAAAAUUCCGGGCUUCGUGGAGCUCAGCCUGUACGACCAAGUGCGGCUCUUGGAGAGCUGCUGGUUGGAGGUGCUCAUGGUGGGGCUGAUGUGGCGCUCCAUCGACCACCCCGGCAAGCUCAUCUUUGCUCCAGACCUCGUUCUGGACAGGCUUCUGCAGCGAGAAAACUUGAACCUACUGAGGAUGAGAGGAAAAUCCGGGUAUCUCAGCUUAUUUCUAACAAGGGAUGAAGGAAAAUGUGUGGAAGGAAUUCUGGAAAUCUUUGACAUGCUCCUGGCAACGACUUCAAGGUUUCGCGAGUUAAAACUCCAACACAAAGAAUAUCUCUGUGUCAAGGCCAUGAUCCUCCUCAACUCCAGUGUGUACCCUUCAGCUGACGCACCCCAGGAGGCUGACAGCAGCCGGAAACUGGCUCAUCUACUGAACGCUGUGACGGAUGCUCUGGUCUGGGUGAUCGCCAAGAGCGGCAUCCCCUCCCAGCAGCAGUCCGUCCGCCUGGCUAACCUGCUGAUGCUCCUUUCUCACGUCAGGCACGCCAGUAACAAGGGCAUGGAACACCUGCUCAACAUGAAGUGCAAAAAUGUGGUCCCCGUCUACGACCUGCUGCUGGAGAUGCUGAAUGCCCACACACUUCGUGGCAGCAAGUCCUCGGUCACAGGGUCCGAGUGCAGCCUGGUGGAGGAAAGUGAGAGCAAAGAGGGCUCCCAGAACCCCCAGGCUCAGUGAUGCCAAGCCCUGAGGUGUGGUCAGGCUGCAGAGGAGGUCAGAGGCCGAAGCGUGAACUCCAGCACAAAUCGUGAGCCCCAUCAGGAGGGGGCGGGCUUCAUCGGCUUUCUGCUGUGUGAUCCCUCAUAUGGCCCCUCAAUACCAUCCUUCCCCGACCUCCCUACUUCCCGGGAGUCAGGGUGAGAAAGCCAGUGCUCCUUGUCACCAGGGGGCACAUUUGAGUGCAGCGUUUAUGUCUUGCUUGGCCUCAUGGGAUCUCAUUGUGGUCCCUCUCACUUCCCAUCUCCCUCCCACCCUUUGGAAAACAUCUUCUUACAGCUCUUGGAAUGACUGGUGGAAAUCUGACUUGGAAGCGUUGUCAAGUAGAAAGGGGAGAGAAGGUGGCACAUGCACAGGAAGGGGACUAAGCCUUAUUGUGCCACUUAACCUGCCCACAGAAUUAGUCCUUUGUAUGCUGCCUCUGGACCGCUUGAUUGUAGGAUUGAAAACCACGAUGGCAGUCAACUAACUGGUUCCACACACCUAUCUCACAGGCCUGUGAGGACAGGUGUCACGUAUUGCUGUGACUCUAUCCAAGGCCAGAGGGAAUGUGACCUAGGGAACCAGUGGUCAAGCUGAGAUGCGAGCCACGUUCAUCCCCCAAGACCUUGCUGCCGCCUUCAUGCAGGUUCACCCCCUCUUGGUUUGCAUUCAGAAAGCCUACAAAUUACGUGUGUGUGUGUGUGUGUGUGUGUGUGUGUGAUCACCUUCAUGGAGGAGUGUGGAGAUUUAAAUACCCCUACCCCUGGAAUUGCCCUUUGUUAAAACUCUCUUGUCCCAAGGGGCCCAGUGUGUGUGCUAGAGAAAGGACCAGUGUUUGCAGGAAUGGGGUUUCUCCUGUGGGUGUGGGUCACAGCCACACUGCUCCCCUGGGGCAGCCACAACUGCCACCUCAGCCACCCAGGGGAGACAGGGACACUUCAGGCUGUGUGUGUGAGGCAUGCUGUUGCACGGAAGGAUGAACAGCUACACACACGUCAGCGUGUCAUGUUCAGGGCCAAACCGUAUAGACGGGGUGAGCGUACCACUUGAACAAGAUUGUGAACUCUAUUUAAAAAAGAGAAAUAUUUAGGGUAAGUAUUUAUAGCAAGAAAAUUCUUUUAUACCCUAGGGCUCUUCUAGAAUAUUUUCUUAUCAGAACAUUUAUAUGGUGGGCUGGGUGAAAUAAAAAGUUAGUAAAAUAUUAGUUCUUAAUCCAAGUGGAACAUAAGUAGGACAUGGUGACAAAGCACCUCUGAAAUUACAAUUUUAACUCACUUUUUAAAAACUGAAAUUUUCAGGAACAUAGUGAAUGCAGAAAACGAGCUACAUCUAUACUCUGGAAGAGAGUAAUUAAAUAAUCAUGUGUGAUUUUUGCAAUGUUUUUAAAAAUUACCUUGUGAUAGGAGAUUAAACACACUUUCUUUUUGAAAAUAGUAAAUACAGAAAUGUGCUAGCCACAGUAAACCAAAGUCAUUAGGAAGAUUACAUUCAAUAACAUGAGGUUGGUUUCUGCCAGUGUGAUCUUGAAUAAUUCUUAAUUUUGAUAUCAAUGCAGUUUUACUAAAAAAGUUGAGCAAAGCUGUAUCAGAAACUCUUGGCCAUGUACCUAGAGAACACACCGUUGUCUGUCUUCUGAGGUGAUUUGAAAUUAUUCUUAGUGACUUGUUGCAGCCUCAGCAAGAUUGAGUACAGCAAAUAUAUUUGAUUUCGUAGGAACGAGGGAACCAGUAUUUUUCAGCAGGUCAAUUUUCUUUCUUUCCAGCCAGUUUAGGAGCCCCCAUGACAAACAAGGGGGCGGAGCCUAGAGAGUGGGAAGUGGGAGGCAAAGGAAGGCAGCCGUGAACAGUUAUUUGCCAAUGAAAUUCUCUUAAUUGUAUUUAUAAAAGAGACUACCAGGUUGAAAAAGCAAAAAUAAAAAAACAAAAACAAAACAGAAUGAGGUCUAAGCCGCAACCCCAUUACUAUGUAGUGAAGUUUUGCAGGUUGGAUUUUGACGCCAAGGUAGGCAACCGAUUUGUCUCAGGUGUCCUGGCACCUGUCUGUGCUGCACCCUGUGUGUCACCCGCACGGUGCACGCUCUCAUGAAAACUCCUCCAGUGCCCACUGCCCAUUUUCCACAGACACUCCUGCAUGCUUCUUGGGGCUGCUUGUUUCACUGCAUUUGGAUUUAGCCCAUGAGGAGCAUGUAACACUUUUGGUCAUUUCUUCUUGGCUGUGGUCUCACCUAGGUGUGCUGAGGAAACCAGUCAGUCAGUCCAACCUGAGAGGCCGCCCUGGUGCAAGGCUGUCUCUUAGACUGGGGUCUGGGCCAAGUAGGCAGCUGAGAUAAUAAGGUCUAUAGUUUAAAGGUGUUCUUUGUUUUGAGUAUUCUAGGGCCCUUUCCCCCUUUCAGAUGAAGUGUGUGAUCUCUGUUCCCAGCUGCUCCAAACGUGUCCUCUAAGGAUGACAAAGUGCAAAGUCAGGCUGCUGUUUUUCUGGGUUUUGAGUAAACCCUCCAUGUCCAUUUUAAAGAUUAGCCAUUUCUCUUUAAUAGUGCUUUCUUAAAAAAAAAAAACAAAAAAAACAUAGUGCUUUCUUUUAAACGUCUUCUUUUGGGGGAGGGUAUCUCCCCACCCAAAUGGUCCAUGGGCGACUUAAAUUUCUCCCAUAGCUAAGCGCAGUGUUUUCAAGUUCAGUUUUUAAAAGGAAUUAACUAGAGAGGAUAGGACCUGACAACUGUAAACAAGAAUUAAAUUGAGUAUUGGAAAAAAAAUAACCCACCCAACUACAUUUUAUGUAUCAUGGAAAAGGAAUGCUCAGCUUUGCCUUAGACUCGUAUGGUGAGAUUCCUUUCCUACAUUUUGGUUUGUAAGUGAUCAUUUAAUACGACAAACUUAGUUGUGGGGGAUGAGUGAGAUUUGAGCUAAAUUCCAAAAACACGAGUGUCUAAUAUGGGAAUCAUAUAGACAAAUUUUAAUGAAAAUUAACAUGGAAUAUUCUUAAUACAGAAACCACUAGCGCAGUGUUCACACAGGUUCCUGGGAGAGCUGGCAGCUGCUGAAAAGGACCCACAUGGGCCACCCCAGGAGAGCCGCACAGUGAGUUGCCCACGUUCCAACUGCAUCUCCCUCCAUCCCCACCACAUCCUGUCCUUGUGGCCUCAGGCCUGUCACAUGCUCAGGGUCCACCAGGACUAACUACAAAGGAUUCAACCCUAAAAUAAUUUUUGAAGAGAUUUAUCUUCAAAAAUUGUGGUGGGAGCAGCAGAUUAAGUUGUCAGUUCAAGAUCAUUUCUGGAGGGUCUUAACUAUUAAAGACAAAACAAUGCAAAAUCAACAAAAGCUCUUCAGUGAGACAGUCUUUAUCUGGAUUACUUCCUCUGCUAACUCAGCUGGAAGACCAAUUAUUUUCAGUUUCAUUAAAAAAAUAUCAGUUCCCAAUUCUUGGCAGAGCUACGUUAUAUAUUCAUAUCUAUAGGUUAUGUUGAAGCAAUUCUAGAAUGUUCUAGCAUGUGAAAACCGAGUUUGGUUGUUACUUAAAUUUGCUAAGAAACUUGCAUAUAUUGAUACCUUUUCAAAUUCCAAGGUGAACCUUCAGUUUCUAGUCUAUUUUGAAACGAAACAUUUUUAUUUAAGAUUUGACACAUUUCUUUAAACUGCUAAAAAAUCUUAAAAAGACAUAAUAAAGGUUAUAUGAAGGAAAUGAUAAAAAUACGUUGUUUAGUACCCAAAAAUAGUAUUUGCGGAACACUGACUGUGUGCCAGGCACAGUGCUCAGUGCCUCAAUACAUUCAUAUUUAAUCCUCAUACUAACUGCUGUUAUCCCAGUUUUCCGGGUCUGGAACCUAGAGCCUAAGCAAACUUGCUCAAGGUCACACAAGGGAGUAAGUGACAGAGCUGAAAGUAUCACGCGGUUUAAAAAAACUAAAGGAAGAAUACUUUUAGACUGCAGAAUCCAUUCGUCAAAUGCAGUCUGACAUGCGCGGCUACUCUGGUUUAAAUGGCUCCAUUUCCAGAACACCCAGUAGAAGAGAGUUCAGUCCCAUCUUUUGUACACGUGUAAAUUAAAGCCUGGAGGGGUAAAUGGACCUGCUGAAGGUCAUAAAACUACUUAACGGCAAAACUGGGACCAGAAUUCAGGUCUUCUGCCUGCCUGGCCAGCACUGCUCCUGCUACAGACUUGCUUCCGUAGGAGUCUGCUGCUUGAGCUGAGUCUCGGUGCAUAGAGGAGAGACGGUUACGUUAUGGUUGCCUUCUACUGUACCCUCUGCCUUCUCAGCUUAGAUGGGGUCUGCGUGAACCUUUACAGAAUAGCAGCCAUGACAGGUGGGAAAAAAUAAGACGAAUUAUAUCAUUCCUACCCUCCCAUCCUGGGCUCAUAAGCUCGUGGGUGGCACUGCCGUCACCUCCUCCUGUCAUCAUUUUCCCCAGAUGUGUUGCCGUGAAGUAGAUUCGCUGGAAACUUACCCGUGUAAAAUUCUCACGCCUUUUAGGCACUGAUGCUUCCCCGUGGAGUCUAGUCUACUGCAGUGCAAAACACAUGCAUUUAUUCUUUACAGCUCUCCAAGUUGCUGGAACUUUGGCUCAAAGUGGUAGCUCAAAGAUGUGCAUUCUCUGCAGUGUUAUUCUUAUAACCCUUUUUGUUGCGUUGGAGUCAAGGAUCCUUUUUCUUUUCUUUGUUUUUUUGAAUGCCGAGGGUCCUAUUCACUUGUGGGGCCAGUCAGUGUUAUGUGAUGGUGGGCUUCCUUUAAGGGAAGGACAAAGCUCUGACGAUAUGCUAACCCAGACCAGUUCCUGUAACUCUACAAUCUGUGCUGCUGUGUUUCUCUUUCUGUGCUGGGUGUCUAAGUGCCAUGACUGUAGGUCCUGUAAUGUUGUUAUUCAGUGGUCCUGUGUACCUCAGAGCCCACUGGCUGGCUAUAACUUGUCAUUUUUUUCAGAUGAAUGCUCUGUACCAUUAAGCAGGCUUUUAAAUUUGGGCCUUUUGACAAAUGAAUGUCUGCUGUUGCGUGAAAGCAGAUUUUGAAACCUGCUUUCCAUUCCUCCAGGUACUACUUUUUCUUUGCUGUGUGCCUUUAAUGUCUAUGGAACUGUUGCAGAAAGAAGUUUAAUGUGACAUAAGCUAAAUAAAGUGUUUUUUCAUAAUUUUGGUUUUAAAAAUGUAUUUGUUGGGAGUAUAAGAACUUUCAGUAAUUAGGCUAAGUAGUCAGUGUUCCCAUUCUAUUCUGAAUUUUAUUCCGUUUUAGGUUUGCAGAGCCCUUUAAGAAUUUGAUGAAAAGCACAGACACUCUUCCUGGACAAAGGUACAUAAACAGAAUGCUUACAUACAAUUUCAAGAGUUAAGAAUCUCUGACUUAAACUGCUGAAGACUUUUUAAACAGCAGCAAUUUAAUCUUUAGUCAGCUAAUCUCCCACCUGUGAUUUAUGACCAAAGGCAUUGUAUGCUCAAGUAAAAUGCAGCUCACAAAUAUGAAAAUUCUGAUAUGCAAUGCAUCAGUUCGGGGAGUAAUUUUCUGUAAUUACCUCAUUUGGGUCAAUUAGUAUUAUACCCCACGAGGGAUGGAGAGAAAAGUAAUUCCUUCAUACUGACGCUAACUUAAUGUCAAGGGUCAUUUGAAAAUUUCUCUCGCACGUGGGGAAUGGAAGAUGUAAAAUCUCUUGAAGGUGUAAAACACAGAUUAUUUCAUAACAAGAGCUGGGGGACACACUGAGCUGUGGGUGAAGGAAGGCUUCCCUGGGGUAGAAGCCUGGAGUACAGACUCAAGACUCAAAGGCCUCUAUCCUGAGAGUUGGUGUGCAUCAUUAGACUUGAAAAUGCAAAUGACACUCUCCUUUCUCCGCAGCUUGGACUUGCCCCAGAGUCCCUCCUUACAGGCAGAAAAGGUCUCUAGAGUAGUCACCUCCUUUGGGCUGGAAAGAAGGGAAGGAGGUAGAGAUAUUCUGCCUUUUGCCUCCGGAGAACCUGGAGCAAGGACCUUCUAACCAACUCAAUGGCUUAAAGAAAAAGUUUGGGUAAUAUUUUCAUUUAAAUUUCCCUCUACGGUUAUUGUAAUCCAUGAAAAGAGAUGGAUUAUUUUAGAGUUAAAAGAGACUUUGAGGUUGCAUGGUAAAGCAGUACCUUUGUGUCCGUAUCACUUCCAACAAUUUGGUAAAGACAGUUCUCUUCAGCUGGUCCCUUUACAUAAAGCUACUGGUGAAUUGCACACGUUCUGGGGUGUCUGACCCACAGAAGGGCCACCAGUGCUGAAAUCUGGCCUUCAUCUACUGACAAGCUUCCUUGGCUUCCCCAAGGUUUGCACUUUGCAGAGAAGAAGAGAGGGACCGAAAUUGCUUUGAGUCCAUGGUGUCUCCCGAGUGUCAAGAGAUGCAGGUUAAGAGCAGGAGACACCCGACACAACCCUUUGAUCAUCAUCUUCGUGUCUGAUCUUCACAUACAAGCGAAGUCAUGCAGAAAACUCGUGUUUUUUGGAUUGUGUCCAUAUGGCCUAUUUGUGUGGAAUGAAAAGAAAAAACCAAAGAUCCUUCAGAUUGGAGGUUGCAGACACACAGACACAAAGGGCUGAGCUUUUGAAGGUGGCCAGGCAAGGAACACAAGCAUAGUUACCGGAAGAGGCCAAACCACAUGGUCCUGGAUGCAAAGCAAAGCUUUAAAGACCCAGAAGGAAUUUUUCAGUUAACUCCUGACCGUCCGAAACAGCGGCGCGGGAGGGGAACUGCGUAGAAAGGACAGAGACGCUCAAUCUACUGAUAUUCUGAAAAACUCAAUCGAAAAGGCCACUGAUGAGCCUCCCGUCUAUCAAGAGCCAUCAGCAAACAGCCUUCAUGUCCCAACGUGGACUUUGUGUAUUUUUCCCUUUCAUUCCACCAGGAAUAGGAAGGAGCCAGCCCUCAGGUAGGUCAAAGGCGGGCAGGACAGACACAGGAAGCCACAGGAAGUCUGGGUCAGCCGCAGCCUGGACUCUGACCACUGAGAGCUGGCCGUGUUGCUCAGGCGCUAAGGACUAGCCGUGCGGGGCCAUACCUGACAGCGCGCUGUAGUACGGGCCCUCCUCGUCUUCUUCGUGAGAGGAGGAGCCCCCCACGUCACCUGUGUGAUCCCACUCCAGCGGGAUGGAAUCCACGCUGACAGGGGUCUCACAGCCGGA